GACGAACGCUGGCGGCGUGCCUAAUACAUGCAAGUAGAACGCUGAAGGAGGAGCUUGCUUCUCUGGAUGAGUUGCGAACGGGUGGGUAACGCGUAGGUAACCUGCCUGGUAGCGGGGGAUAACUCUUGGAAACGAUAGCUAAUACCGCAUAAGAGUAGAUGUUGCAUGACAUUUGCUUAAAAGGUGCAAUUGCAUCACUACCAGAUGGACCUGCGGUGUAUUAGCUAGUUGGUGGGGUAACGGCUUACCAAGGCGACGAUACAUAGCCGACCUGAGAGGGGGGUCGGCCACACUGGGACUGAGACACGGCCCAGACUCCUACGGGAGGCAGCAGGAGGGGAACUUUGGGAAUGGACGGAAGUCUGACCGAGCAAAGCCGCGUGAGGGAAGAAGGUUUUCGGAUCGGAAAGCUCUGUUGUAAGAGAAGAAAGAGUGUGAGAGUGGAAAGUUCACACUGUGACGGUAUCUAACCAGAAAGGGACGGCUAACUACGUG
rnacentral:rRNA from 1 species